UUGGUAUUGUGUGUAGGAGAUUCGGUAUAACUAUAAUUUCGUUCUCCAUUUACAUGCCCGUAGUGUCUUUAAGUGUUAUGUAGUUUUGCCUGAAACGCAAAAAUAAAACAAAGCAAUUAAAGCCGAUCAGUGGCUGAAAUUCUGCUGUAGCGAUUGAAGAACUUUUGACGGAAGUUGGAUUCGAACCCACGCCUUAAUUCGGAGAACAGAAUACACCUUACUUUGAAAGGCCAUUUUCGCUGCGCAGGAGGCUUAAGACCGCUCGGCCAUGGGGCAGUUUCCAGUUGAACCCUAAGGAGUGAGAGUGUUGAUGAGGACAAGGCUGGAGAUUUCUCUGUCGUGCUGAUUGGGUUACAGGGAUUGGACUGCUGAGGACUGGGGUAAAGUCAUUUUCCCUGAUGAAUCCCCUUUCUGUUUGGGGCAUCCGGAAAAAAAUGUCCGGAAGAGCAAAGGAGAGUGCUGACUUCAGUCCUGUGUCAUGCCAACAGUAAAGCAUCCUGAGACCAUUCAUGUGUGGGGUUGCUUCUCAGCCAAGGGAGUGGGCUCACUCACAAUUUUGCCUAAGAACACAGCCAUGAAUGAAGAAUGGUAGAAAAACAUCCUCUAAGAGCAACUUCUGCCAAUCAUCCAAGAACAGUUUGGUGAUGAACAAUGCCUUUUUCAGCAUGACGGAGCACCGUACCAAAGGCAAAAGUGAGCCCACCUGUGCUGCAGCGUCCCCAGAGCCCACCUGUGCUGCGGCGUCCACAGAACCCACUUGUGCUGCAGCGUCCCCAGCCCACCUGUGCUGCGG